CGACUGGCUCUGUGGUUACUUGAAAAACAAGUCUCGGAAGAAGGCGCGUUCUAUAGCGCCGAAACAUGUGUUAGGCAGGGAGACCAGCGAUUCAAUCUCUUCCUAUAUUUGAAUCUCUCAUCAUCGAUAGAUUUAGGGAGAUUACAGCUGUUGCGUGGAUGUUUGGCUAAGGUUUCUUCAAGCUUCUUCAUUGAGCUGACUAUCUGGGUUAUCUAAGGCGGUUGGUGGGAAUCAACAUUUAUAGAUCCCCUGUGUGGGAUGCUUUAUGCCUUCCACUCUGUGAUUUCACACCAAGGGAUACUAUGUAUUUAUUCUACCUGGAUAUACUGACAUCUUUUAUCCCCUGAUACAUUGUUUAUAUGUAUCACUUUGUUGCCAUACCCCAGCAUUGCAUUCAGUCAGUGUUUUUCAAGUAACCACAGAGCCAGUCGUGUAUAUUACAUCUAGCAGC